GNGCACUAGGUGUGGGGGGCCUUUUCCGGNUCUUCCGCGCCGUAGCUAACGCAUUAAGUGCCCCGCCUGGGGAGUACGGCCGCAAGGCUAAAACUCAAAGGAAUUGACGGGGGCCCGCACAAGCGGCGGAGCAUGCGGAUUAAUUCGAUGCAACGCGAAGAACCUUACCAAGGCUUGACAUGUGCCGGUCUGCUCCGGAGACGGGGUUUCCUCCCUUGUGGGGGCUGGUUCACAGGUGGUGCAUGGUUGUCGUCAGCUCGUGUCGUGAGAUGUNNNNNNAANNNNCGCAACGAGCGCAACCCUUGUCUCGUGUUGCCAGCACGUUGUGGUGGGGACUCGCGGGAGACUGCCGGGGUCAACUCGGAGGAAGGUGGGGAUGACGUCAAAUCAUCAUGCCCCUUAUGUCUUGGGCUUCACGCAUGCUACAAUGGCCGGUACAGAGGGCUGCGAUACCGUGAGGUGGAGCGAAUCUCUUAAAGCCGGUCUCAGUUCGGAUCGGUGUCUGCAACUCGACACCGUGAAGUNGGAGUCGCUAGUAAUCGCAGAUCAGCAACGCUGCGGUGAAUACGUUCU
rnacentral:rRNA from 1 species